UACGAGGGGGGCGAGCGUUGUUCGGAAUUAUUGGGCGUAAAGGGUGCGUAGGCGGUUCCGCAAGUCCUGUGUGAAAUCUUCGGGCUCAACUCGAAGUCUGCACGGGAAACUGCGGGGCUUGAGUGUGGGAGAGGUGAGUGGAAUUCCCCGGUGUAGCGGUGAAAUGCGUAGAUAUCGGGGAGGAACACCUGUGGCGAAAGCGGCUCACUGGACCAUAACUGACGCUGAUGCACGAAAGCUGGGGGAGCAAACAGG
rnacentral:rRNA from 1 species